rnacentral:rRNA from 1 species
UACGAAGGGGGCUAGCGUUGCUCGGAAUCACUGGGCGUAAAGCGCACGUAGGCGGACUCUUAAGUCGGUGGUGAAAUCCUGGAGCUCAACUCCAGAACUGCCUCGAUACUGGGAGUCUUGAGUCCGGGAGAGGUGAGUGGAACUGCGAGUGUAGAGGUGAAAUUCGUAGAUAUUCGCAAGAACACCAGUGGCGAAGGCGGCUCACUGGCCCGGUACUGACGCUGAGGUGCGAAAGCGUGGGGAGCAAGCAGGA